rnacentral:rRNA from 1 species
GACGAACGCUGGCGGCGUGCCUAAUACAUGCAAGUCGAACGCACAGUUUAUACCGUAGCUUGCUACACCAUAGACUGUGAGUUGCGAACGGGUGAGUAACGCGUAGGUAACCUGCCUGGUAGCGGGGGAUAACUAUUGGAAACGAUAGCUAAUACCGCAUAAUAUUGAUUAUUGCAUGAUAAUUGAUUGAAAGAUGCUAUUGCAUCACUACCAGAUGGACCUGCGUUGUAUUAGCUAGUAGGUGAGGUAACGGCUCACCUAGGCGACGAUACAUAGCCGACCUGGGAGGGUGAUCGGCCACACUGGGACUGAGACACGGCCCAGACUCCUACGGGAGGCAGCAGUAGGGAAUCUUCGGCAAUGGACGAAAGUCUGACCGAGCAACGCCGCGUGAGUGAAGAAGGUUUUCGGAUCGUAAAGCUCUGUUGUAAGAGAAGAACGGGUGUGAGAGUGGAAAGUUCACACUGUGACGGUAUCUUACCAGAAAGGGACGGCUAACUACGUG